rnacentral:rRNA from 1 species
GAUGAACGCUGGCGGCGUGCCUAAUACAUGCCAGUCGAGCGAACGGAUGAGAAGCUUGCUCCUCUGACGUUAGCGGCGGACGGGUGAGUAACACGUGGAUAACCUACCUAUAAGACUGGGAUAACUUCGGGAAACCGGAGCUAAUACCGGAUAAUAUAUUGAACCGCAUGGUUCAAUAGUGAAAGACGGUCUUGCUGUCACUUAUAGAUGGAUCCGCGCUGCAUUAGCUAGUUGGUAAGGUAACGGCUUACCAAGGCAACGAUGCAUAGCCGACCUGAGAGGGUGAUCGGCCACACUGGAACUGAGACACGGUCCAGACUCCUACGGGAGGCAGCAGUAGGGAAUCUUCCGCAAUGGGCGAAAGCCUGACGGAGCAACGCCGCGUGAGUGAUGAAGGUCUUCGGAUCGUAAAACUCUGUUAUUAGGGAAGAACAAAUGUGUAAGUAACUGUGCACAUCUUGACGGUACCUAAUCAGAAAGCCACGGCUAACUACGUG